CAGAUUCGUUUGAAACUCCACCAUUUUCAACUGCAGAUCCUGCAACUUUUUCCACAUUUGAUGAAGGGAUCUCGGCGUUUGUGGGUUGAUCGGCCUCCGGUUUGGCUGUUGACGAAAUGGGGCUAUUCCGAAGGCUGAAAGUAGCGGCGUUCUCAUCGUCAUACUUCACAGGACGCGGUCUUUUCCUCUUGGGUGCGGUGGCUGAUAUCGGAGUGACAGAAGAACUGGAAUUUUGAGGCAAAGUGGAAG
rnacentral:misc_RNA from 1 species